rnacentral:lncRNA from 1 species
UUUUAAUUGAGUUAAUUUUAUACAUAUCCUUACAAACACGAUGACUCUAUAAAGAUCAACUUUUGUUUAUAUAUUAUUCUGUAAAAAUUUUGAUACUUUCAAAUAUGUUACUGCGUUAAAAUCCGUUAGAAAAAAUUAAUUAACUAAAGAUAAAUAUUUUUUAAUCCUAAUCGGUUAAUGAGAUGAACUGAGCUUUUUUUAGUUAACCAUAGGAAAAUACUUAACCCUAGUUAGUUAAUGAAAUGAAUUGAGCAUUUUUUAGUUAACCAUAAAUAAAUACUUAACCCUAGUUAGUUAAUGAUAUAAAUUGACCUUUUUUACUCCUCUUUAAUUAAUAGUUGGGACUUUUAGAAUAACAUGUUUGUGAUGGCAAAAAAAUUAUUUCACUUAUAAAAUAAAUAGUGUUUUAACAAUAACAAACCAUAGGGAUAUUGUAACACACUGGGCUUUAGCAAAUUGCAAGGUUCGAGUGUUGAGCUGUGUUCUGAGUCUUUCCAGAUAUUCUGGAAGGUCGUGGACAUUGUCCCGACCUAUGGCUUGAUUUUCGAGAAUUGUGGUUUUUAAAGUAGCGCUAAGGUCACCAAAGGGGAGGACUUAGGUGCUCUCGGGUGGCAUUCUGCAGGAAUGUGUA